CAAGCAGGUCGGGCGGUCGCGGUUGGAUCCGUCCAACUGAGGAAAGUCCGAGCUCCACAGAGCACGGUGCUGGAUAGCGUCCAGGCGGGGUGACCCGACGGAAAGUGCCACAGAAAACAACCGCCUUCGCCGCCUCGCGGCGGAGGUCAGGGUGAAAAGGUGGUGUAAGAGACCACCAGCAGUCCGGGUGACCGGGCUGGCUAGGCAAACCCCACCGGGAGCAAGACCAAAUAGGAGGGCAAGGCGGCGCUGGCCGCCAGCAGGCUGCUCGUCUGCGCCCUUGGGUAGGUCGCUAGAGGUGGCAGGUAACUGCCACCCCAGAUAGAUGACCGCCAGCCGCUCCUGCGGCUACAGAACUCGGCUUACAGACCGGCUUGGGCA
rnacentral:RNase_P_RNA from 1 species